rnacentral:rRNA from 1 species
UACGUAGGGUGCAAGCGUUGCUCGGAAUCACUGGGCGUAAAGGGUGCGUAGGCGGGUUUUUAAGUCAGAGGUGAAAUCCUGGAGCUCAACUCCAGAACUGCCUUUGAUACUGAAGAUCUUGAGUUCGGGAGAGGUGAGUGGAACUGCGAGUGUAGAGGUGAAAAUUUCGUAGAUAUUCGCAAGAACACCAGUGGCGAAGGCGGCUCACUGGCCCGAUACUGACGCUGAGGCACGAAAAGCGUGGGGGAGCAAAACAGG